UAAGGAGGGUGGAAGCGUUAAUCGGAAUCACUGGGCGUAAAGCGCACGCAGGCGGUCUGUCAAGUCGGAUGUGAAAUCCCCGGGCUCAACCUGGGAACUGCAUCCGAAACUGGCAGGCUAGAGUCUUGUAGAGGGGGGUAGAAUUCCAGGUGUAGCGGUGAAAUGCGUAGAGAACUGGAGGAAUACCGGUGGCGAAUGCGGACCCCUGGACAAAGACUGACGCUCAGGUGCGAAAGCGUGGGUAUCAAACAGG
rnacentral:misc_RNA from 1 species